GCAACAAGCGGCCACCGCCCCCACCCCGGGGCGGGCAGGUUCCGACCUGAAUCUGAAAGUGCUUCUAAACCCCAUGCUUCACAGAACGUUCGGAGGGGGAGGCGCUCCGUGGGGGCUGCUGCGUGCCCAUGUAGCCGAACUGACUCGAAUAAAAGCGUGUCCACGUCUACAUCACACAUCUGUGUAAAUGCAGAAGCCUGCGGAUGCGCGGGGCUGGCCAGACUUCACAGUGUGCAGACACAUGGGCUCAUGCACGCGCACGCGCGCGCUCACACACACACCCCAAAUUACCUCCGGGAUGGAGAAAGCCGCUGCGGAUUGGCCAGCAGAGCCGUCACUCACGCCCAGGGGGCAGGGAGACUUCGCAAAGCUGUUUCCUUUUUUUUUUUUCCUCCUCUCCUCCCUACCGUUUCAUUUAAUGGUAAAACAACAGCAGAGCUCUGAAAGUUAGCCAUCUGCGCAGAGUUUGCCUUCUUUAAGGAGGGAGGCGUCAGACGAUAUCCAUUUAAAUAUAUUUUGUACUUCCACAAAGGAUGGAAAGGGAAAUUCACGAAGGGAGUGGAGGCGGAAAGGGAGCUCCGAGAAAGAAGGAGGGGUCAUUCCGCGGGGGGCGGGGGGGGGGGCGGGGGCCGACGCAGGGGAAAGAGUUGCUCUCUACACCGAAAAGGGACUUUGACCUUCCAUUGAUCUCGAAAUUCAAAAACGUUUCUUCACAGGUCAGAUUGUAACAAACACUCGUUCCUAAUUUAUGAACUCGCCGUUUUGAUUUUAUUAUUUAAGCAUGCGCCAGCAAUCGUGUUUCCUUAAGAAAGA
rnacentral:lncRNA from 1 species